rnacentral:snRNA from 1 species
AAGAAAGGAGAAGAAGGAAAU